rnacentral:rRNA from 1 species
AUUUUAUAUACUAAAGGUAGUAAUAUAAUAAUAAACCUAUAUUUAAUGGCGGUCUAGUUAAUUUAGAGAAACUCGCUUUAUAAUCGAUAAUACCCGUUAAAUCUCACUUGUAAAUUAAAGUUUAUAUACCGCCGUUUAAAGACUCUUAUUAAUAAUAAUACUCAUACAAUCUUAAAAUAAAAAAUCAGGUCAAGGUGUAGCCAAUAUUUAAGUAAAAGUAAGUUACAUUAAAAACAAUUUAAGGAACUUUUUUAAAAAAACAAUCGAAAAAGAAUUUAAAUGUAAAUAAAACCCAAAAACUUUUUUUGAAUAUUUUAACAAGACGC